rnacentral:tRNA from 1 species
UCCUUGGUGGCUCAGACAGUAAAGCAUCUGCCUGCAAUGCGGGAGACCUGGGUUCAAUCCCUGGGUCAGGAA